AUUGAACGCUGGCGGCAGGCCUAACACAUGCAAGUCGAGCGGAGCGGCGGACGGGUGCGGAAUGCCUAGGAAUCUGCCUGGUAGUGGGGGAUAACGUCCGGAAACGGGCGCUAAUACCGCAUACUAUCAGAUGAGCCUAGGUCGGAUUAGCUAGUUGGGGGGGUAAAGGCCUACCACGGCUACGAUACGUACCUGGUCUGAGAGGAUGAUCAGUCAAACGGGAACUGAGACACGGUCCAGACUCCUACGGGAGGAAGCAGUGGGGAAUAUUGGAAAAGGGGCGAAAGCCUGAUCCAGCCAUGCCGCGGGUGUGAAGAAGGUCUUCGGAUUUUAAAGCACGUUAAGUUGGGAGGCGUUACCAACAGAAUAAGCACCGGCUAACUUCGUGCCAGCAGCCGCGGUAAUAC
rnacentral:rRNA from 1 species